CACAGGGCAGGACAGUCACCUCUCUCUUUUUGACUACAUGCAUUGAAGAAGCAACAUCUGCUUAGCCAAAGAUGCUCUCUUGGCCAAGAGAGGACAAAGGGACUGUCUCCUUAUGAGAUAGUUUCCAAGUGUGCGUUACUUUUCUAAGAUAAGUCUGCCUUCUGGGAUCCGAUUGUGAACAGAAUGUGAGUAAACUCAUUUUAUACUUUUAUAGAAGACUGUGUUGUCUCUUAUCUUUUAUGAGGGAAUAAGGGAAAAAUACCAGAACAGUUAUUAUAGAGGCUUUAGCGAGCCUGAGCAAAUGCAUCCGCUGUGAGUUUAAAAAAGGGGAAUGUUACUCUGCUAAAUUGUGACCUUGUUAACGCGAGUUGGAAAGGCUAUAAUCAGACAAUAUAUCCUUCUCCUGCAUCCCUGAACAUUCCCACAAUUGCCCUGAGCGAAGCCUCCAGAGGGCCACCAUUGAGGCUCCCAGCCUGGGUGUGCCAAACUGGGCCUUUGACCAGAGUAAAAUAAAGCUUCGUUUCCGCCCUGUGCAAAGCAAAGGAGGUUUAGGAUCAGAGUUUUGCUUCUCCUAGCAAAACACCCCCUGACACGAACACUUUCAGAGAAAGAAAAAGGAUUUGGGGGAUUGUCCUGCAUCACAGGCUGAGCCAGGGACGUUCUUCCUGAGUCCAAACCAAACCUGUCUUUUUAAGGACAGAAGUGGAGAUGUGUUGCCCAUGAUGCAAUUCCUUCAGUUUAUGACAUCAGAGGCAGACUCCCCACCCAAUGCAGUCAUGUUUCAAGGGGAAGGUUCACAGAACAGGCAGCCCCUGCCAGGGAAUCCUGGGUGCGGCUGAUGCUCAGCUUGGCUUGUUUAUGCCAAAUCUGGUCUUAUUGCGGGGUCUUUUCUGCUCUAUGAAGCCCGGAAGGUGGAGAGGGGUGCAAAUGCUGAACUAUCCUCUGCUCAAAGCAACCCAGUGCAUUAUCUCUCUGGGAGUCACCCAGAACCUGCUCUGGCACCCUUAAAAUAAAGGCAACAAAACCUAAGGAAAGGAGGGGGUGAGGAAGGAGUGGGCAUGAGGCCAACUUGGCGGUUCAGGAGUUAAGGAAGGCACAGAGAAGAUGCCCGGUUUCUGAAGGAGGUAAGCCCUGGGUGCUAGGCAGGCCCACAGAUCCUAACUGCAAAUAUUUUAGAGCAAGCUGCAGCUAGCAGGCGGAGAGUCAAAAGCACUCUGCACGUGUUUAGAUGCCCUCUUUGUAUUUGUUGUUGUUGUUUAGUUGUUUAGUCGUGUCCGACUCUUCGUGGCCCCAUGGACCAGAGCAUGCCAGGCCCUCCUGUCUUCCACUGCCUUUCGCAGUUUGGUCAAACUCAUGCUGGUCGCUUCGAGAACACUGUCCCACCAUCUCAUCCUGUGUCGUCCCCUUCUCCUUGUGCCCUCCAUCUUUCCCAGCAUCAGGGUCUUUUCCAGGGAGUCUUCUCUUCUCAUGAGGUGGCCAAAGUCUUGGAGCCUCAGCUUCAGGAUCUGUCCUUCCAGUGAGCACUCAGGGCUGAUUCCCUUCAGAAUGGAGAGGUUUGAUCAUCUUGCAGUCCAUGGGACUCUCAAGAGUCUCCUCCAGCACCAGAAUUCAAAAGCAUCAAUUCUUCGGCGAUCAGCCUUCUUUAUGGUCCAGCUCUCACUUCCAUAUACCACUACUGGGGAAACCAUAGCUUUAGAUGCUCUCUUACUAAUUUAUUUCGCAAAAUUUAUAUGCCGCUUAGUUGUAAAUAAAAAUAAAAUAAAAACCUUAAAGUGGUUUACAAAAAAAAAAAGAUAAAAGAAUAAGACAGGUUUGGUGCGAUGGGUUAGUGCUGUUAACCAGAAGGUUGGUGGUUUAAGCCUAUGAGAAGUAAAACACUGGUUCCUAAGAUUUAAAAUCCCUGCACCUUUUAAAAUAAAUUCUGGGUAAAAUUGGUGAAACAGCAAUACGUUAUUGAGAAUAUACACUUCCAAGUGGGUGACCCGAAAAAGCAGGCACUCCCAAUUUAAUCAAAACAUAAAUAUUUAUUCCCUGUCCCCAAGUGCAAUAAAUAAGAGCAACAUUUAUUCUGAAAAGGCAAUCAAAAAGCAACAUAAAUUAUUCCUCUCAGAGCCCAACCUGGGACAGCUCUGAGCAGGAUUCCUGCAUUUCAGGGGGGUGGACUAGAUGACUCUUGGGGUCCCGUCCAACUCUACAACCCUAUGAAUAAAACUAUCAAUAAGAAAAACCGACAGCUAUAAUCUAAGACUGUCAAAAAGGUGAAAUAUCAGCAGACUAAAAAUAGAUCACAUCUCACAGCACCAACUUUCUAAACUUCUGGGUAGGCUGGUUUAAACAAAAGCGCUUUUCGUAGGGGCUGAAAUGAGUACAGCCAAGGCACCUGCCUGAUUUCAAUAGGCAGGGAGUUCCUGUGGGAAUGUUGUGUAUAGUAGGAGAGGAUAUAUUGAUUAAAUAUUAGUCUUACUCACACUAGUGAGUCAAGUAGCAGAGCACAUUCCCCUUAUAAAGUAGGAAGCUAGCUUGCAGAUUCAUUUGAAUCUCUUUAGUUAAGCAAUCCAGUCUGGCUUGCCCAGAUUGGAUUAUUCCUGGUAAAUCCCCUUUUGAUCCAUCUCAAAAGAAUAAAGACACAGCAGUCUUUCUUUGAAAGUAACAAGAAGUUGACUUCCGGGUUGGCGCCUCUGGCAAUGGCGGAUUUCCUCCGAUCGGGAGGAAUCCGCUCCGUGGAAAACAGGGUCUGAACCGCCACGGUGAGGCGGAGACCCAUCAAAAACCACAGGCGGGAGAAGCCUGUGGACGUGGGAUUCGGCUGGCACCUUUGCGCCCCCCCCUACUCGCGGGGAACCCCGGUUUUGGGGAUCCGGAGCGACGUGGGGUGAGUGGCGCGGUGCUUUGAAUUGACUGCUUCUUUCACGGAGUGAAGCCGCAUUGCUGUUGCCGGAGAGCGCUGACUUUUUCCUGUGGACAAUUGGAUUUUAAACAACUGCCCAUGAGUAGAACGGAAAAUUGGACUAUGAAAUUUCUUAAUUAGGCACCGAAAGCGGGAAGGUCUAAACAGGAAGUCCGCCUUCCGCUUUUGUAGAUAGAUUGAAGCAAAGACACGGCAAGCUAGAGUCUGGAAAGUCGUUUGUAAAGGAUUAAAUUUUCAUCAUUUAAAAUUACUGAACCCCCCUUGGAAGCAGGAGAAGAGGGGGGAACCUUUUUUAGACUCUCUAAACCUGCAGAAGAGAGAGUAAAGAAAGGUAAUUUUCCACCGUCUUGAACCUGGGAACGGGGUGUCAGGACAGACGUUUUGGGGACGUUCAUUGACUAUGGACAAACGUUUUUGACAGAUAGUCAAAAGAAGAGAAACAUAUUGAUUCCAUUGUUCCCUUUCGCAUUUAAAAGGAACAAAAUAUCGACAAAAUAUCCGAAAAAGGAAAACUUUGUUGCUAGAUCUGCUUUUUUUUUUUAAAAAAAAGAUGGAUACAAAUAGAAAUUGUUUCCCCUAGAGGGAGCUUGUGAAACUGUUAUUAAAGUCGAACUGGGAAGCUUUGCAGCUGUAGAGAUUAAAGAUCGUGGGACCAGACUUCGACCUUGAACAAGAAUGUGCUCAGAGGAGGUUUUGGUGCUUGCUCUUUGCAAGACAAGUGCUUUAUUGGAACAGUUACAUGAGAAGAUGGAUUUGAUGACUGUUGCGAUCGGAAAUUUUGGACAGGCAGUGGGUAUCUAUAUAGAACCCACUCAGGAAUUAAUCCAGGAAUGUGCUUUGACAGAUCAGAUGAGGGAGGAGGUUGUUGUGGAACCUCGGGUGGCAGAGAUGGAGGGAGCUGUGGCCCAGCAGGAACAUGAGUUGUUGGAUUUGACGAAUGAACCUGGAAAAAAUCAGAUUUGGAGAGAUGGAGUUUUGUUUGGCUUGGAGAUGGGGGUCUGGAUGGAUCCCCCUAUGCAGGGAUGUUUUGACCUUUCAAGUUUGGCUUUGGGCCGGGGGGAGUUCGGAGUUGUGGGGGCCCUUAACUUUGGAGGGACUUUGAAACAUGCCUUUAAAUAUCACAUGGAUUUCAGUGUUGACUAUGGAAAAGGGGCUGACUUGUCGAGAAGGGACAAAAAUAUUCAUAGAAUCAUAGAAUCAUAGAAUCAUAGAGUUGGAAGAGACCACAAGGGCCAUCGAGUCCAACCCCCUGCCAAGCAGGAAACACCAUCAGAGCACUCCUGACAUAUGGUUGUCAAGCCUCUGCUUAAAGACCUCCAAAGAAGGAGACUCCACCACACUCCUUGGCAGCAAAUUCCACUGUCAAACAGCUCUUACUGUCAGGAAGUUCUUCCUAAUGUUUAGGUGGAAUCUUCUUUCUUGUAGUUUGGAUCCAUUGCUCCGUGUCCGCUUCUCUGGAGCAGCAGAAAACAACCUUUCUCCCUCCUCUAUGUGACAUCCUUUUAUAUAUUUGAACAUGGCUAUCAUAUCACCCCUUAACCUCCUCUUCUCCAGGCUAAACAUGCCCAGCUCUCUUAGCCGUUCCUCAUAAGGCAUCGUUUCCAGGCCUUUGACCAUUUUGGUUGCCCUCCUCUGGACACGUUCCAGUUUGUCAAUGUCCUUCUUGAACUGUGGUGCCCAGAACUGGACACAGUACUCCAGGUGAGGUCUGACCAGAGCAGAAUACAGUGGCACUAUUACUUCCCUUGAUCUAGAUGCUAUACUCCUAUUGAUGCAGCCCAGAAUUGCAUUGGCUUUUUAGCUGCCGCGUCACACUGUUGGCUCAUGUCAAGUUUGUGGUCAACCAAGACUCCUAGAUCCUUUUCACAUGUACUGCUCUCAAGCCAGGUGUCCCCAUCUUGUAUUUGUGCCUCUCAUUUUUUUGCCCAAGUGCAAUACUUUACAUUUCUCCCUGUUAAAAUUCAUCUUGUUUGUUUUGGCCCAGUUCUCUAAUCUGUCAAGGUCGUUUUGAAGUGUGAUCCUGUCCUCUGGGGUGUUAGCCACCCCUCCCAAUUUGGUGUCAUCUGCAAAUUUGAUCAGGAUGCCCUUGAGUCCAUCAUCCAAGUCGUUGAUAAAGAUGUUGAAUAAGACCGGACCCAAGACAGAACCCUGUGGCACCCCACUAGUCACUCUUCUCCAGGAUGAAGAGGAACCAUUGAUGAGCACCCUUUGGGUUCGGUCAGUCAGCCAGUUACAAAUCCACUGAGUGGUAGCAUAGUCAAGACCGCAUUUUACCAGCUUCUUUACAAGAAUAUCAUGAGGCACCUUGUCAAAUGCCUUGCUGAAAUCAAGGUAGGCUACAUCCACUGCGUUCCCUUCAUCUACCAGGCUUGUAAUUCUGUCAAAAACGAGAUCAGGUUAGUCUGACAUGACUUAUUUUUCAGAAAUCCAUGCUGACUAUUGGUGAUCACAGCAUUCCUUUCUAGGUGCUCACAGACUGUUUGCUUAAUGAUCUGCUCCAGAAUCUUCCCUGGUAUUGAUGUCAGACUGACUGGGCGGUAAUUAUUUGGGUCCUCUCUUUUCCCCUUUUUGAAAAUAGGGACAACAUUUGCCCUCCUCCAGUCUGCCGGGACUUCGCCUGUUCUCCAGGAAUUCUCAAAGAUGACUGCCAGUGGUUCUGAGAUCACAUCUGCCAGUUCUUUUAAUACUCUUGGAUGCAGUUCAUCUGGCCCUGGAGACUUGAAUACAUCUAAACUAGCCAAGUAUUCUUGUACUAUCUCCUUAGUUAUUCUGGGCUGUGUUUCCUUUGCUGAAUCAUUUGCUCCAAAUUCUUCAGGUCGGGCAUUGUUUUCUUUAUCGGAGAAGACUGAGGCAAAGAAGGCAUUGAGGAGUUCAGCUCUUUCUGUGUCCCCUGUUUGCAUUUCACCAUCUUCUCCUCUGAGUGACCCCACUGUUUCUUUGUUCUUCCUUUUGCUACGGACAUACCCAUAAAAGCCUUUUUUGUUGCUUUUAACCUCUCUAGCAAGCCUGAGUUCAUUCUGUGCUUUAGCUUUUCUGACUUUGUGUCUACACGUGCUGGCUAUUUGUUUGAAUUCCUCUUUGGUGGUUUCCCCCUUUUCCAUUUUUGUACACAUCCUUUUUAAUCUUAACUCAGUUAAAAGUUCUUUAGAUAGCCACCCUGGCUUCUUUAGGCACCUUCCAUGUUUCUGUCUCAUUGGUAUUGCCUGAUGUUGUGCUUUUAGUAUCUCCCUCUUAACAAACUCCCAGCCAUCAUGAACUCCCUUUCCUUUUAGUAUUACUGUCCAUGGGAUCUCACCCAGCACUUCCCUAAGUUUUAUGAAGUCAGCUUUCUUAAAGUCAAGAAAUUGAGUCCUAGUAUGCUUGGCUGCUCCUUUCCGCUGUAUAGUAAACUUCAGAAGAGCAUGAUCACUCGCGCCUAAUGAUCCUUCCACUUCUACCCCACUAACCAGGUCAUCAACAUUGGUUAGGACCAGAUCUAAAAUGGCUGUUCCUCUUGUUGCUUCUCCCACUUUCUGGACAAUGAAGUUGUCUGCAAGGCCAGUGAGGAAUCUGUUUGACCUUAUGCUCUUGGCUGAGUUUGACAUCCAACAAAUAUCCGGGUAAUUGAAGUCCCCCAUUACUACUAUCUCCUUCCUUUUGCAUGCUUGGCCAUCUGUUCCAGGAAGGCAUCAUCUAUGUCCUCUGUUUUGCUUGGGGAUCUAUAGUAAACUCCCACAAUGAGGUCACUGUUAUUCUUCUCUCCUUAAUUUUGACCCAAAUGCUCUCACUUUGGCUUUGAGGUUCUAAAUCUUGGAUCUCUUCACAGGUAUACACAUCCCUGACAUAUAACGCCACUCCUCCUCCUUUCUUGUCUGGUCUGUUUCUCUGAAAUAGAUUGUAUCCCCCAUUAUUACAUUCCAAUCGUGGGACUUAUCCCACCAGGUUUCAGUGAUGCCUAUUAUGUCAUAUUUAGUUUGCUGUACCAAGAGCUCAAGCUCAUCUUGUUUAUUUCCCAUGCUUUGCGCAUUAGUGUACAGACAUUGAAGUCCAUUAAUCAUUCCCCCGUGACUCUUAUUUAAGGAUUUUUUCCUCCCACUACUAGGUCUGCGUGCUGUUUGCUCCAUUUGGUCUAUGACAUUUGGAUGAUCAUCUUCAUCAAUUGAUAGACUCCUACCUUCAGGAGCACUGUCUCCCUCCCCCACAUUAGUCAGUUUAAAGCCCUCCUGAUGAGGUUUCUGAGAUUUUGGCAAAAACAUUCCUCCCAACCGUUGUGAGGUGCAGCCCAUCGCUUGCCAGAAGUCCAUCUUCAAGAAACUGCAGUCCGUGAUCUAAGAAUCCAAACCGUUCCUGUUUACACCAUUUGCGAAGCCAGCUGUUCACUUCCACUAUUUUCCCCUCUCUCCCUGGGCCACGUUGUUCAACUGGGAGGACAGAUGAGAUGACAAUUUGUGCAUUUAAUUGCUUCAAUUUCCUGCCCAGAGCCUCGUAGUCUCUUUUGAUCUUCUGGAGGCUAUUGCUUGCAGUGUCAUUGGUUCCCACAUGAACCAAGAGGAAGGGGUAUUUGUCAGUGGGUUUUAUGAUUCCUUGCAGUCGUUCAGUUACAUCUUGGAUCUUAGCCCCGGGAGACAGCACACUUCCCGAGACAUCUUGUCAGGCCCACAGAUCACUGCUUCUGUUCCCCUCAGUAGGGAAUCCCCUAUCACCACUACACGCCUCCUCUUAGGUUUGGUUGGGGUUCUUCCGUGAGCUGUCCGCUCCAAGGUCGCCUGCACAUUCCCUGAGGACUGACUUUGCUGCUCGUCUUCAUAUACCUGAUCGACUGUAAUGAGGAGAGAUCCUCAAAUGGAGUCUGCUCUUCGUCUUCCAUGCUAGGGAGAGGACCUCAAAGCGAUUGUGUAUUUCUAAACAAUCAGAGCGAACCCUGGGCCUCCUACUUCUUUGAGUCACGUUUCUCCAUAUAUCUGGCUCCUGUGUUGGUGAACUAGUGUCCUUCUCAGUGGAGUCCCCUGUCUCCUCCUUGGUGGAGACGGUGUGCUCUGUUGCUUCCAAGAAGAGCUCCAGCUCUCUAAUUCUUUGGAGCGUAGCUACACGUUCCUCCAGUUGCUGGACUUUGUCUUUUAAGAGGGCAAUCAACAUGCAAUUGCUGCAGGUAAAGCUGCCUGCAACCUUUGGCAAGAUGGCAAACAUUGCGCAGGAACUACAGGCGACUGCAGCUGUUCCCUCCCCUCCAUCUUGAGAACGUGUUGUUGGGGGUGGCUACAGCGGUCCUCCAUCAUAAAAAGUGUGAAGACAGGACAAAUAACUCCCCCCACAAAAAAACCUAGGUCUCCCCCAACAAACGUUUGAGACUAGCUCCCCUAAAUCUAAAAGAUGGAUCAAACCCAUCUGUCAAGUUGGAGUCUUCCUGAGUGAAAGGAGCAGAAGACAAAGUAAAGUACAGGUACAAACAUGAAGAAGACCUGCGGAAGGGACAUGGAAAAGACUUAAGAGCCUCGGAUAGAAGGUCACCAGGUUGAUGGACUAGAUGGAUGGGAUAGAAAGGACUGACAAAACCCGAAACCAGGAAGAAGAGAUGAUGGAUGAAGAUUGGAAGAAAGUUUUAAAAAUUUAUUUAGAAAAGUAUCGUAAAAUUAAUGAGUAUUAGAAAAAUGUUGGAAUGAAAUUAUUUGGCUUUAGCAGAAAUGUUAAAAAGAAUUAUGUAAGAAUAUGUUACGGUUAAAAGAAUUUGGUAUAAAUAAGAUUUAAGUUUUAAGUUUUAGGGUUUUUUAUGGUAAGAUAAGGUUAAAAUAGAUUAAGGUAAUUUAAUGACAGAAUAUUGUGAAAGAUGGAAAGGAUUUGCUGAGAUAAUUAAUAACUAGAAUACAAAAAGGGAGGUGUGAGGAGGUCGAUGAAAUAAGUUAAUGAAAGUUAAGGAUUUGGGAAUAUUGGAUUUGUUUUUAAAUUUUUUUGUUUAUUUUUGCUUUUUGCUUUUGAUGUAUUGUGUGUUUUGUUUUUUCUUUUUGACUUUGGUUUUUAUUGAUUUGUAUUGUUUAAUUGUUACUUUUAUCUACCUUUUUCUUUCUUUCUCUUGUUUUUUCCUUCUUUUUUCUUUGUAACUUUAAAAUUCUCAAUAAAUAUCUUUUUUUUUAAAAAAAAAAUGAAAGUAACCAGAAGUUUACUUACAAUUAGUUCACAGUAUGAUCCCUGAAGGCAGGCUCUGGCUUAUACAGUGGACGCUUGGGUUGCGAACGUGAUCCGUGCAGGCUGCACUUUCACAACCUGCAGCAUUCACAACCUGCAGCGGUGUGUCUGUGCAUGUGCGGGUUGCAAUUUGGUGCUUCUGCGCUUGUGCAAAGCACGAUUUAGCGCUUCUGAGCAUGCACAACUGCCAAAAUCCAGAAGUAACCUGUUCUGGUACUUCCGGGUUUCGGUGGGUCCGUAACCAAAAAAAACACAACCUGAAGUGUCUGUAACCCGAGGUAUGACUGUACAGUGGUACCUCGGGUUACAGACGCUUCAGGUUACAGGUGCUUCUGGUUACAGAUUCCACUAACCCAGAAAUAGUACCUCAGGUUAAGAACUUUGCUUCAGGGUGUGAACAGAAAUCGUGCGGCGGCGGCAGCGGGAGGCCCCAUUAGCUAAAGUGGUACCUCAGGUUAAGAACAGUUUCAGGUUAAGAACGGACCUCCAGAACGAAUUAAGUUCUUAACCCGAGGUACCACUAUAGUUACAGAGAUAGCUGUGGAUUAAUCCCAUAUGGGGAUUCAUCCCAUGUCUGCUGGAAGAAGAGUAAAAGAGAGAAAUAUGGCUGCACGGCUGGACCUUUUGUGGGGUCUCCCGGGGUCACACCCACCUACCUGGUCACAUGCUGAGGAAGGAUGCUCCAGACCAGGUGUAACAGAAAGUUAUACUGGCUGGAGUAACAUCCCCCUGUCUGCGUCGACUCUAGAGAAACAAGGAAUGUGCCACACUUUUUAACAACAAAAAAGGGGUGCCUGUACUGCGGGCCCUUGGGUACUUCUUGCAAUGCCCGUUAGACGAAUUUAUAAAAUCCCUGUUUACGAAUGGAACAUAUUUGAAUAGGGUGGAAAGGGUGAAAUGGCUGCUGGGCGACACCGAUGACUUUGUUACUUAUAAAGUAGCACUCUAUGCGCUAGCAGCUAAGAAGAUCAGGAGGAAGGAACUAGACAAAAUAGCGGUCAACUGCAAAGGGGAUUCUGAUAUUUAAUUUGGCACAUCUUACCUGAGAAUCUUCUGCUAUUCUAUUCUAUUUAAUGCAACAAAUAAUUUUAGUAGCCAUGACCGUGGUUUUGUUGCAUGUCUGUGCCCGAUGAUUUUUAUGGUUAUGGUUAUGGUUAUUUUUUUUUCUUUUUUCUUUUUGUCUUCCUUCUCAAUGAUGCCAUGGCCUAUGGCUAGUGCAAUAAAAAAGUUUAAUUGGAAUUGGAGUACCCCUUGGAAAAAACAACAAUCCCUGCCUGCAACAGUGCCCAUUCCUCUGAUCGAAGCAGUCACCUGGGCACAUCCUCACAGGCUUUUCACUCCAGCCUCCUCCCUGAUCUCUCCACCUCCAGGGACGCCCCGACACCUUGGGAGAAGCUGCCCCCUGCCGCCUUCCCUGCCAUGGACCUAUUUGCCCGCUUUGAGGAGUUCCUGGACAUCGUGGUGUGCUUGGGCUUCCUCUACUUCCUCUCCUACAGCUCCCUCUUCCUCUUCUACUUCCUCCUCCUCGUGCCUUUGGCCUUCAUCUUUGAGGGAGAGGAGACAUUGAGAGCGGCAACCUCCUUCCUGCAAUCUCCAGCUCAAUAAAGGGUGAAUUUGAAUACAUGGCGCUUUGGGAAAUGUGAGUUGCCGAGUCUGUAGUGCUGUCUGUCUAAAGCCGUCCAGCGGAGGCUGCUCCAUGAGGGUGAAUGGGGAAGGGUCUGGGGGCUGGCAGGUUAAGUUUGGUGGGCCAGGGAAAUAGCCUGGUCCCAUCUAUCUUAUUGCUUUAUUAUUCAUUUCAUUAAAAAAAAUGCUUGAUUGCAAAUAUAUAUACAACUAAAAGUUUUCUCCACCAGUGAGCGCCAACAUUAUUACAAGUAUAAAAGCUAAAGUUAAAGGGACCCCUGACCAUUAGGUCCAGUCGUGGCCGACUCUGGGGUUGCGGCGCUCAUCUCGCUUUAUUGGCCAAGGGAGCUGGCGUACAGCUUCCGGGUCAUGUGGCCAGCAUGACUAAGCCACUUCUGGCGAACCAGAGCAGUGCACGGAAACGCCGUUUACCUUCCCGCCAGAGCUGUACCUAUUUAUCUACCUGCACUGGCGUGCUUUCGAACUGCUAGGUUGGCAGGAGCAGGGACCGAGCAACAGGAGCUCACCCCGUCGCGGGGAUUCGAACAGCCGACCUUCCGAUCGGCAAGUCCUAGGCUCUGUGGUUUAGACCACAGUGCCACCCAUGCCCCCUUUACAGGCAUAGUCUAUGCUUUAAAGCCCUGUGUGCAAGUGUACCUAUUUAUCUACUUGCACUUUGAGGUACUUUCGAACUGCUAGGUUGGCAGGAGAAGGGACCGAGCAACAGGAGCUCACCCCAUCGCGGGGACCUUUUGAUCGGCAAGCCCUAGGCUCAGUGGUUUAACCCACAUCACCACCCGCGUCCCUAAUUACAAGUAUACAUUCUAUAAAAUCUUAAAUGAACCAGGCGUUUGCUUAUACCGGUGCGACUGAGCGACUGUGUGCCUCAAUAUUUGUAUAAGAAACGAAAUUGUGCCACGCAGCCAAAUAGCACUCAUUUGAACUCUUCACUUCAGAUACUUUUAGUUUAUGAGAGACCUUUUCAAGGAGCGAAAUCUGGCAAACGCUGAAGUACAAGCAGUCCAGAUUACUGAGAUUGAAAGUUUUCCAGGAUUUGGUAAUGGAGCCCUCUUCAGAGGCGAGAGAGAAGUUCUUCAUUUUUCAGGUCCUUAGGAAUAUAUAAGCAGAACCUGCUGGAGCAAGCCAAGGACCCUUCUAGGCCAGCAUCCUGUUUUCACAGUGGCCAAAUACCCCUAAGAACCCAGGAAUCCAGAUAGACUGAUUUGGACCUGGAGGUUCCAUUAAAAGAGCCUGGCUGUUGGGUCAGGCCAAGCUCCCAUCUAAGUCCAGCAUCCUCUUCUCACAGCAGCCGCCCAGGUGCCUGUGGGAAACAGGUAAGCAGGGUCCAAAAACAAGAGGCUUCUUCUCUCCUGUGGUUUCCAGCAAUUGGUAUCUGGAAGCAUUUGCUGCUGUGGAGGCAGAAGAUAGGCCUCUUGGCUAGCAGACAUCAAUAGACUUCUCCUCCAUGAAUUUGUCCAAGAUUCUUUUAAAGCCAUCUAUGUUCGUAGCCAUCAUUGGCUCCUGUGUCUGUGUUACUGAAGGGGAAGGAAAAGAAGCUCUUCGGCCCCUUAGUGCUUUAUUAUUAUUACAAAACAAUUUCAACAUAACAAAAUUUCAAAACAUAUCAUCUUCAUUAUUUCCCACCUCCCCAACGAACCCUCGCCUCACAAGACUUCUCUCAGCUCCUCUCUCUGAUUUCUCAACACAUUUUGUUCUCUGCAUACUGUAAAAUUGUAUAAAUCCUUAUAUUAUCUGUCUACUAUAUUAGGUAAAGGUAAAGGGACCCCUGACCAUUAGGUCCAGUCGUGGCCGACUCUGGGGUUGCGGCGCUCAUCUCGCUUUAUUGGCUGAGGGAGCCGGCGUACAGCUUCCGGUUCAUGUGGCCAGCAUGACUAAGCUGCUUCUGGUGAACCGGAGCAGUGCACGGAAACACCGUUUACCUUCCUGACAGAGCAGUACCUAUUUAUCUACUUGCACUUUUUUCGAACUGCUAGGUUGGCAGGAGCUGGGACCAAGCAAACGGGAGCUCACCCCGUCGCGGGGAUUUGAACCGCCAACCUUCUGAUCGGCAAGUCCUAGGCUCUGUGGUUUAGACCACAGCGCCACCAAAAGGUGGGGGGUAUGAAUAUAUAUAUAAUAAGAGGAGAAGUGUCUGUGGGAUUUGUGAGCUGCUUGCGAAGGAUCCAUGGGCAGGUUUUUUAAAAUGAGCAAUGUAUCUGCUGAUCCAAAAUGCAAACAGGCAGAAUGUGUGGUCCCUGUGCAAAGGAGUGGGAGACCAGCAGACAACCCACUUUCCAUAUGUAAGAGGGGCAUUUGCUAGUUUCCCAUUCCAAUGCACCAAACGGAUUUGGAAAAUGUGGGAUUUCAGGACCUUUCGCCUAGUGAUACAGAUGAAACACCCCUGGAAAAUAGCCUGUGUUUGCUUGAACCUUGCAAAACUGGUUUCUCCCAAGUCUGAUCAUGGGGGGAAGAAAAUGUACCUGGUGCCCAAGACAGAGUGAAUCCACUUUUACAGAAGCUUGACAGCUCUAAUUAAGGAUUUGUGGGGUUUGGGGUUUUUUUGCUCUUUGUGCUUUCCCCCCUUAUGGACACAAGAUGGCAACAGAGCUGCAUGCGUCUUCCACAUUUCAGCCCAGUUCAACGUAUCCUUUUAACCAUCUGAAGGUGGCACUAGACACAUUGCUGGUGUUUUGCAGAAGGAAUUGAACUGUAUAUAUGAACUUCAGAUCUGUGCAAUUAAAGUGGAUUCAAGCAAAUCCACUUUUUAUUUACCUGCUUCGAAAAAGCAGACUUGUAGUUUGGAAAGUGAUAGAUCAAUGUAUUGAUGUCACGGACUGGUUAGACACAGGGGGUGGGCGUGGGCAUAGACACCAGCUAGGGAACCCCCAAGGGAAGAAGGCUCAGAGCCAGGGGACUGGUGGUGGGAUGACAAUGGUCAGAGGGAGAAGAGGGAGCAGAAUGGGAAGUGGAGGUGUCGGAAGCUGAAGAGGCAACAAGGUUUAGUGAGCAGGAAGAGGCUGUGGCAGAGAGCAGUCCAGAACCAGGGGCAGAAGCAGAGGCUAAAGAGGAGGGGGGCCAAGACGCAAAGUGGAGGCAGGCUGCUGAGGGUUGCAAUAUGUCCUCUUUUUCCAGGACUCGUCCUCUUUUAGAGGAUUAAAAUUUCUCUCCGGGCAGAUUUAUAAAAUUUGGCAAAAUGUCCAGGUUGUUUUGUUUUGUUUUGUUUUGUUUACAGUAACCCAAGAAAAAUUGUCUAGUGCAUUAGACUCAGAUCUAAGGCACCCGGCUAAGCUAGUCUGCAGCAGAGAAUCACAACAGAGCAACAUCUUAAAGCAUCUCCAUCCUGUAAAAAUCCCUUCUCUUGUGGCUGAAGUCAAAGGAUGCUGGCUCAGUUACAAGAUCUUCGAGGAGGAGUCUGGGAGGGCAAGAGUUAACACCACCCUGCCCUUAAAGAGAGCCCAUAUGUACAUGUUAAACAGUUUAAUAAAUUGUUCUGUGCACACUUAUUUUCACCAAGGUACUUUCAUGUGGCAAGUGAAGGAGCAAUAUGUAUUAUUAUUAUUAUUUUGUUGUUGAAAGUUAAGAACAUUGCUACCAGCAAUACAUCACAGCUUCUAUAGCCUACAUAUAGCAGGGG
rnacentral:lncRNA from 1 species